UACAGAGGUCUCAAGCGUUGUUCGGAUUCAUUGGGCGUAAAGAGCGCGCAGGCGGCUUGGUAAGUCGGAUGUGAAAUCCCGAGGCUCAACCUCGGGUCUGCAUCCGAUACUGCCCGGCUAGAGGUAGGUAGGGGAGAUCGGAAUUCCUGGUGUAGCGGUGAAAUGCGCAGAUAUCAGGAGGAACACCGGUGGCGAAGGCGGAUCUCUGGGCCUUACCUGACGCUGAGGCGCGAAAGCUAGGGGAGCGAACAGG
rnacentral:rRNA from 1 species